rnacentral:lncRNA from 1 species
GUCCACCUUAAGAUUGGAAAGUUAUAGUUCCUUUUAAGGACAAACCCACGAAGAGGCCAACUUAAGGUGCAAAGGGACUCAUAUGUCCACCUUAAGAUUGGAAAGUUAUAGUUCCUUUUAAGGACAAACCCACGAAGAGGCCAACUUAAGGUGCAAAGGGACUUAUAUGUCCACCUUAAGAUUGGAAAGUUAUAAAGCUUCAACUUGAAGACGACAUCGACUUGAACACUUGGAGAACUUUGAAAAUUUGGCGGACUUUGCAGACUUCAACUCGAAGAUUAGGAGGGCUUAAACAAUUCAACUUUAAGAUCGGCGAAUUGAAGACUGAAACUUGAAGAUCGGCAAACUUGAAGACUUCAACUUUGAGACUUGGAGGGCCUAAAUAUUUCAACUUGAAGAUCGGCGAAUUUGAAGACUUCAACUUGAAGACCGACAGAGUUGAAGAUUUCAACUUGGGGACUUCAACUUGAAUACCGAUGGACUUGAAGACUUCAACUUGGUGACUUCGAGGGCUUAAAUAUUUCAGCUUCUCUUUUGCUUUACAUUGUUUGACUUUUAUCUUAGUCGCAUAAUUUUCAGCUUUACGCGCUUGUAACAAAAGAUUCAUAUCUUGUCGUGGGAGAGUCCAAAUAAUGAACCGUUUGAUGACUUCAUUAUCUAAAAUAUAUCCAACACUUAGAAUCAAAAACCUUCAGAAUCGCACCGGAUAAUAUUUUGAAACCAACUUUAGAUUUCACCGUAUUGAAAAUUUCAGAUGUGCGC